UGGAAGUCCUUUAUAUCAAAGCAAAAGUUGGCCUUGUGUAUUUUAGAAACCAUUGCCAUCUGUGUGUAACAGUAUCAUCCCUCUAGCAGGCAGUUUGUGUACUGCCUACCUGCGUAUGUUUUAUGACAUUAUACUUGAAUCCUACUCGUCAAGAAAACUAGAAAUAAAACAGGUUUAGCUAAUCUCGUUUUUCGAAUUAUAAAAACAGGCUGCCGGAAUAAGGAGACCCGCAUCUGAGAUAAGUCCCAGUGUAGCUGAGGAAGCACUUGAGCAGCUGAAAAAUCGGGUUAGCUCUCUCGAGAUGGAGCUACAAGAUGUUAAACUGAAGAAUAGAAUGUCUGAUGAAAGAAGUAGAUUGACUGAACUCAAGCAACAAACCUCGCCAGUGAGCUCCAGGCAAAGAGUAUCUCAAACUUCAUUUCUUUCUGCUUUGGAUCGAUAAAGGCUGAUGAUCAAAUGAAUAUUCGGGUUAGCUUUUUGCUAGCAGCUUCAGUGAAGGUGGGUUGAUCCAUGAUGUAUUGGGUAUACACAUCCAUAUAUCGAAAGAUGGAGAACAAUGCAAGUUGUAAAUACAUAGUAAAUUUAAAAAACUAUAAGAUGAAAUACAUGAAAUUGUGAUACUCUGUACAAAAACAAAGAGAAAUACCUUAUUCUUUAGCUAAAUUUUACUUAUUUAUGUGA